AAGGUGGGGAGUGACGUCAAGUCCUCAUGGCCUUAUGGUAGGGCGUUCACACGUCAUACAAUGGUCGGUACAGAGGGUUGCCAACCCGCGAGGGGGAGCUAAUCCCACAAAGCCGAUCGUAGUCCGGAUCGCAGUCUGCAACUCGACUGCGUGAAGUCGGAAUCGCUAGUAAUCGUGGAUCAGCAUGUCACGGUGAAUACGUUCCCGGGUCUU
rnacentral:rRNA from 1 species